rnacentral:tRNA from 1 species
GGUGGCUCAGUGGUAGAGUGCUUGCCUUGCAUGCAUGAAGCCCUGGAUUCGAUUCCCCAGCACCA